rnacentral:rRNA from 1 species
ACGUUAGCGGCGGACGGGUGAGUAACACGUGGGUAACCUACCUAUAAGACUGGGAUAACUUCGGGAAACCGGAGCUAAUACCGGAUAAUAUUUCGAACCGCAUGGUUCGAUAGUGAAAGAUGGUUUUGCUAUCACUUAUAGAUGGACCCGCGCCGUAUUAGCUAGUUGGUAAGGUAACGGCUUACCAAGGCGACGAUACGUAGCCGACCUGAGAGGGUGAUCGGCCACACUGGAACUGAGGCACGGUCCAG